GACGAAGGGGGCUAGCGUUGUUCGGAAUUACUGGGCGUAAAGCGAGUGUAGGUGGUUGUCCAAGUUGGAUGUGAAAGCCUUGAGCUCAACUCAAGAAAUGCAUUCAGGACUGGGCGGCUAGAGGACCGGAGAGGAUAGUGGAAUUCCCGGUGUAGUGGUGGAAUGCGUAGAUAUCGGGAGGAACACCAGUGGCGAAGGCGGCUCUCUGGACCGGUGCUGACGCUCAGGCGCGAAAGCGUGGGGAGCGAUCCGG
rnacentral:rRNA from 1 species